UACAGAGGUCCCGAGCGUUGUUCGGAUUUAUUGGGCGUAAAGGGUGCGUAGGCGGCGCGGAAAGUUGGGUGUGAAAUCCCUCGGCUCAACCGAGGAACUGCGCCCAAAACUACCGUGCUCGAGGGAGAUAGAGGUGAGCGGAACUUAGGGUGGAGCGGUGAAAUGCGUUGAUAUCCUAAGGAACACCGGUGGCGAAAGCGGCUCACUGGAUCUCUUCUGACGCUGAGGCACGAAAGCUAGGGUAGCGAACGGG
rnacentral:rRNA from 1 species